rnacentral:rRNA from 1 species
UACGUAGGGGGCAAGCGUUGCUCGGAAUCACUGGGCGUAAAGGGUGCGUAGGCGGCUUGGUAGGUCUGGUGUGAAAGCCCCGGGCUCAGCCCGGGAAGGGCACUAGAAACUGCCAAGCUAGAGUGCCGGAGGGGAGAGUGGAAUUCCUGGUGUAGCGGUGAAAUGCGUAGAGAUCAGGAGGAAUACCGGUGGCGAAAGCGACUCUCUGGACGGCAACUGACGCUGAGGCACGAAAGCGUGGGGAGCAAACAGG